GAUGAAGAACGUAGCGAAAUGCGAUAAUUAAUGUGAAUUGCAGAAUUCCGUGAAUCAUCGAGUCUUUGAACGCACAUUGCGCCUCAUGGCAUUCCGUGAGGCAUGCCCAUCUCAGCGUUAGAAAAUAUUCUCAAAUUUUAGUUUUGUGCUAAAAUUUGGAUCAUGUCAAAGAAGCUAUUACUAUUAUUGUGAUCGCUCUUUGGAAAUUGAUAGGUCUUUGAGUUGCUACUCAUAGAACGUGAUGAAUCUUUCUUCGUUCUAUUGUAAUUCACUCUGGUAGUCCUAAAACUUGUAUGCCUGUGGCAUAUCUUGUAAUUUGACCUGAGAUUGGGUAGGGAUACCCGCUGAACUUAAGCAUAUCAAUAAGCGGAAGA
rnacentral:misc_RNA from 1 species